rnacentral:rRNA from 1 species
UUUGACCCCGCGGGUACUUAAGCAUAUCAAUAAGCGGAGGAAAAGAAACCAACAGGGAUUGCCUUAGUAACGGCGAGUGAAGCGGCAACAGCUCAAAUUUGAAAGCUGGCUCCUUUGGAGUCCGCGUUGUAAUUUGUAGAGGAUGAUUCGGCAAGGGCUCCCGCCUAAGUCUCCUGGAACGGAGCGUCAUAGAGGGUGAGAAUCCCGUAUGCGGUGGGCUGCCUAAGCCAUGUGAAUCUCCUUCGACGAGUCGAGUUGUUUGGGAAUGCAGCUCUAAAUGGGAGGUAAAUUUCUUCUAAAGCUAAAUACCGGCCAGAGACCGAUAGCGCACAAGUAGAGUGAUCGAAAGAUGAAAAGCACUUUGGAAAGAGAGUUAAAAAGUACGUGAAAUUGUUGAAAGGGAAGCGCUUGCAGCCAGACUUGUCCGCAGUUGCUCAGCCGGUCUCCUGACCGGUGUACUCUUCUGCGGCCAGGCCAGCAUCAGUUCGGGCGGUCGGAUAAAGACCUCGGGAAUGUAGCUCCUCUCGGGGAGUGUUAUAGCCCGGGGUGGAAUGCGGCCAGCCUGGACUGAGGAUCUCGCUUCGGCUAGGAUGCUGGCGUAAUGGCUGUAAGCGGCCCGUCUUGAAACACGGACCAAGGAGUCUAACAUCUAUGCGAGUGUUUGGGUGUCAAACCCAUGCGCGUAAUGAAAGUGAACGGAGGUGGGAACCCUCACGGGUGCACCAUCGACCGAUCCUGAUGUCUUCGGAUGGAUUUGAGUAAGAGCAUAGCUGUUGGGACCCGAAAGAUGGUGAACUAUGCCUGAAUAGGGUGAAGCCAGAGGAAACUCUGGUGGAGGCUCGCAGCGGUUCUGACGUGCAAAUCGAUCGUCAAAUUUGGGUAUAGGGGCGAAAGACUAAUCGAACCAUCUAGUAGCUGGUUCCUGCCGAA